rnacentral:rRNA from 1 species
ACUGCCUCGGGCCUUUGGUGAUUCAUAAUAACGCAACGAAUCGCAUGGCUUGUUGCGGCGAUGGUUCAUUCAAAUUUCUGCCCUAUCAACUUUCGAUUGUAGUUUAGUGGACUACAAUGGUUUCAACGGGUAACGGGGAAAUUAGGGUUCGACUCCGGAGAGGGAGCCUGAGAAACGGCUACCACAUCCAAGGAAGGCAGCAGGCGCGCAAACUACCCAAUCCCGACUCGGGGAGGUAGUGACAAUAAAUACUGAUACAGGGCUCUUUCGGGUCUUAUAAUUGGAAUGAGUACAAUUUAAAUCCCUUAACGAGGAACAAUUGGAGGGCAAGUCUGGUGCCAGCAGCCGCGGUAAUUCCAGCUCCAAUAGCGUAUAUUAAAGUUGUUGCAGUUAAAAAGCUCGUAGUUGAACUUCAGACCUGGUUGGGCGGUCCGCUUAACGGCGUGUACUGUCUGACUGGGCCUUACCUCUUGGUGAGCCGGCGUGGCCUUUAUUGGUGUGCGUCGGGGAACCAGGGACUUUUACCUUGAGAAAAUUAGAGUGUUCAAAGCAGGCCUAUGCCCGAAUACAUUAGCAUGGAAUAAUAAAAUAGGGACGUGCGGUCUAUUGGAGGUCUAGAGUCGCG